rnacentral:lncRNA from 14 species
AGCAGCCGCUGGCGGCACCCCAAAGUGUGGCCCCAGAGGGGGAAACCCCAAAGUGUGGCCUGAGAGGGGGGGAAACCCCAAAGUGUGGCCUGAGAGAAGGGGAAACCCCAAAAGUGUGGCCUGAAAGAAGGGGAAACCCCAAAGUAUGGCCUGAGAGAAGGGAAACUCCCAAAAUCUGGCUCAGAGUAAGGAGAACCUCCCAAAAUCUGCCCUGAGAGGAGGGGAAACCCCAAAUAUGGCCCAAGAGGAGGGGAAACCCGAAAAUCUGCCCUGAAAGAAGGGGAAACCCCAAAGUGUGGCCUGAGAGGAGGGGAAACCCCGAAAUAUGGCCCGAAAGAAGGGGAAACCCCAAAGUAUGGCCUGAAAGAAGGGGAAACCCCAAAAUCAGCCCUGAGAGAAGGGGAAACCCCAAAAUACGGCCUGAGAAAAGGGGGACCCCCAAAAUCUGGCUUAGAGUAAGGAAAAACCCCCAAAAUCAGCCCUGAGAGAAGGGGAACCCCUGAAAUAUGGCCUAAAAGAAGAGAAACCCCCCAAAUCUGGCCUGAGAAAAGGGGAGCCCCCAAAAUCUGGCUUAAAGUAAGGAGAACCCCCCAAAAUCAGCCCUGAGAAAAGGGGAAACCCCAAAGGAUGGCCUGAGAGAAGGGGAAACCCGAAAAUCUGCCUCGAGAGAAAGGGAACCCCCCAAAUACGGCCUAAAAUCAGGGGGGAAAUGACAAAUCUGGUCUGAGAGAAGGGGAACCCCCAAAAUCUGACCUGAGAGAAGGGGUACCUCCAAAAUCUGGCCUAAAAGAAGGGGGAACCCACGAACCUGGCCUAAAAGAAGGGGGAGACGUCAUAAAUCUGGCCUAAAAAUAAGGGAAAACCACUAAUUUGGUGUAAAAUAAGGGGAACCCUCAAAAUCUGGCCUAAAACAAGGGGAACCCCCCCAAACCUGCCCUGAAACAAGGGAAACCCUCAAAACCUGGCCCAAAAGAAGGGGAACGCCCCAAAUGUGGCCUAAAAGAAGGGGAGCCUCCUUAAUCUGGCCUAGAGUAAGGGGAACCCCCAAAAUUGGCCUGAAAAAGGAGGAAUCCCCCAAAAUCGGCCCUAAAAAAAAAGAGGAAACCACCCAAAAGAAGGGGAACCCCCCCAAAAUUGCCCUGAAGCCAUUUCCCAUUCCGGGAAGCUCCGAGCCACCCAAACCUCCCUCCCAAAUUUAUUCCAGAAGGUGAAAGAGCGGCCCCAGUUUUGCUAAAAUUCAGGUAUUUUGCGAUCCUUUUAUUUAUUUUUUUUCCCCCCUCCCUUAUUUAUUUCCAAGGAAGCAGCCGUGUAGUUCUCAAGCACGGGGGAGAUUUCAGCCCCUGGAGAGAAAAAAAAAAAAAAAUUAAAUUUAUA